rnacentral:rRNA from 1 species
AUUGAACGCUGGCGGCAGGCCUAACACAUGCAAGUCGAGCGGAAACGAUCCUAGCUUGCUAGGAGGCGUCGAGCGGCGGACGGGUGAGUAAUGCAUAGGAAUCUGCCCGGUAGUGGGGGAUAACGUGGGGAAACUCACGCUAAUACCGCAUACGCCCUACGGGGGAAAGCAGGGGAUCUUCGGACCUUGCGCUAUCGGAUGAGCCUAUGUCGGAUUAGCUUGUUGGUGAGGUAAUGGCUCACCAAGGCGACGAUCCGUAGCUGGUCUGAGAGGAUGAUCAGCCACACUGGGACUGAGACACGGCCCAG